rnacentral:rRNA from 1 species
GACGAACGCUGGCGGCGUGCUUAACACAUGCAAGUCGAGCGGUAAGGCCCUUUCGGGGGUACACGAGCGGCGAACGGGUGAGUAACACGUGGGUGACCUGCCCUCAGCUCUGGGAUAAGCCUGGGAAACCGGGUCUAAUACUGGAUAUGACUCCAUGACGCAUGUUGUGGGGUGGAAAGCCUUGUGCGGCUGAGGAUGGGCCCGCGGCCUAUCAGCUUGUUGGUGGGGUGANGGCCUACCAAGGCGACGACGGGUAGCCGGCCUGAGAGGGCGACCGGCCACACUGGGACUGAGACACGGCCCAGACUCCUACGGGAGGCAGCAGUGGGGAAUUGUUCGCAAUGGGCGCAAGCCUGACGACGCAACGCCGCGUGGAGGAUGAAGGUCUUCGGAUUGUAAACUCCUGUUGCUCGGGACGAAAUGCUCCAGCCUAACACGUUGGAGUUUGACGGUACCGGUGAGGAAGCCCGGCUAACUCUGUGCCAGCCGCCGCUGUAAU